rnacentral:rRNA from 1 species
CACCAGACUCCUACGGGAGGCAGCAGUGGGGAAUAUUGCACAAUGGGGGAAACCCUGAUGCAGCGACGCCGCGUGAGUGAAGAAGUAUUUCGGUAUGUAAAGCUCUAUCAGCAGGGAAGAUAAUGACGGUACCUGAGUAAGAAGCCCCGGCUAACUACGUGCCAGCAGCCGCGGUAAUACGUAGGGGGCAAGCGUUAUCCGGAUUUACUGGGUGUAAAGGGAGCGUAGACGGCAUGGCAAGUCUGAAGUGAAAGCCCGGGGCUCAACCGCGGGACUGCUUUGGAAACUGUUAAGCUGGAGUGCAGGAGAGGUAAGUGGAAUUCCUAGUGUAGCGGUGAAAUGCGUAGAUAUUAGGAGGAACACCAGUGGCGAAGGCGGCCUGCUGGACGAUGACUGACGUUGAGGCUCGAAAGCGUGGGGAGCAAACAGGAUUAGAUACCCUAGUACUC